GAUGAAGAACGCAGCGAAAUGCGAUAAGUAGUGUGAAUUGCAGAAUUCAGUGAAUCAUCGAAUCUUUGAACGCACAUUGCGCCCCUUGGUAUUCCAUGGGGCAUGCCUGUUCGAGCGUCAUUUGUACCUUCAAGCUUUGCUUGGUGUUGGGUGUUUGUCCUGAGGGACUCGCCUUAAAGUGAUUGGCAGCCAGUGUUUGGUUUUGAAGCGCAGCACAAGUCGCGAUUCAAAGCUAUACGCCCGCUUCCACAAGCCUUUUUCACUUUUGACCUCGGAUCAGGUAGGGAUACCCGCUGAACUUAAGCAUAUCGAUAAGCGGAGGA
rnacentral:misc_RNA from 1 species